CUGCUGCCUCCCGUAGGAGUCUGGGCCGUGUCUCAGUCCCAGUGUGGGGGGCCUUCCUCUCAGAACCCCUACGCAUCGUCGCCACGGUGGGCCGUCACCCCGCCGUCUAGCUAAUGCGCCGCAUGCCCAUCCGCCACCGGAUCCGCUCCUUUGGCCACCGGAGGAUGCCCUCCGGUGGCGUCACGGGGUAUUAGGCCGCGUUUCCGCGGGUUAUCCCCCUGUGGCGGCCAGGUUGCAUACGUGUUACUCACCCGUGCGCCGGUCGCCGGCGGG
rnacentral:rRNA from 1 species